rfam:Acremonium chrysogenum ATCC 11550 scaffold192, whole genome shotgun sequence.
GCUCGGGUCGUCCAAUGGCUAAGACAUUUCGUUGUGGCUUAAUAAGCACUCUGAAACCGAAAAAAUCUGAGUUCGAUUCUCAGCCCGGGCA